rnacentral:rRNA from 1 species
CCAGGACGUUGGCUUAGAAGCAGCCAUCGUUUAAAGAAAGCGUAAUAGCUCACUGGUCUAAUGGCUCUGCGCCGAAAAUGUAACGGGGCUAAGCAUGGUACCGAAGCUUUGGCAAUCUCCUUUGGAGAUUGGGUAGGGGAGCGUUCGCUGCGGGCUGAAGGUGUAUCGGAAGGUAUGCUGGACUGCAGUGAAGUGAUUAUGCUGACAUGAGUAACGAUAAAACGGGUGAAAAACCCGUUCGCCGUAAACCCAAGGUUUUCCGGGUAAAGGUAAUCUUCCCGGAGUUAGUCGGCCCCUAAGGCGAGGCUGAAAGGCGUAGCUGAUGGGAAACGUGUUAAUAUUCACGUACUUGUGUGUUCGCGCGAUGAAGGGACGCAGGAAGAUAGGCAAGCCGGGCGCUGGUUGUCCCGGUGCAAGCGUGUAGGGAUGAGAAGUUGGCAAAUCCGCUUCUCUCUAUCCUGAGACGCGAGUCCGUGACCGAAAGGUCUGAAGUUGUUGAGUCUAUGCUGCCUAGAAAAGCUCCUAAGUUUAUCCACAGCAAUCCGUACCGCAAACCAACUCAGGUGGGUGGGAUGAACAAUCCAAGGCGCUCGAGAGAACUCUGGCCAAGGAACUCGGCAAAAUAACCCCGUAACUUCGGAAGAAGGGGUGCUCUCUAGGGUGACAUGUUUAACAUAUGAAGCCCCGGGGAGCCGCAGUGAAUUGGUGGUGGCGACUGUUUACUAAAAACAUAGGUCUGUGCGAAGUCCUAAAGACGACGUAUACGGACUGACGCCUGCCCGGUGCUGGAAGGUUAAAAGGAGGGGUCAGCGCAAGCAAAGCUCCGAAUUGAAGCCCCAGUAAACGGCGGCCGUAACUAUAACGGUCCUAAGGUAGCGAAAUUCCUUGUCGGGUAAGUUCCGACCUGCACGAAUGGCGUAACGAUCUCCACACUGUCUCGGCCAGAGACUCGGUGAAAUUGCAGUCGCGGUGAAAAUUCCGUGUACCCGCAGAAAGACGGAAAGACCCUGUGCACCUUUACUAUAGCUUGACAUUGGAUUUUGGGCCUGCAUGUGUAGGAUAGGUGGGAGGCUGUGAACCCUGUACGCCAGUAUGGGGGGAGCCAUCCUUGAAAUACCACCCUUGCAUGUUUAAGAUCCUAACUUCUUCCGGUUAUCCCGGAGAAAGACAGUGUCUGGCGGGUAGUUUGACUGGGGCGGUCGCCUCCUAAAGUGUAACGGAGGCAUGCAAAGGUUCCCUCAGCCUGAUCGGAAACCAGGCGCUGAGUGCAAACGCAUAAGGGAGCUUGACUGUAAGAGAGACAUCUCGAACAGGAACGAAAGUUGGCGUUAGUGAUCCGGUGGUCCCGAAUGGAAGGGCCAUCGCUCAUUGGAUAAAAGGUACGCCGGGGAUAACAGGCUGAUCGCAUCCAAGAGUUCACAUCGACGAUGCGGUUUGGCACCUCGAUGUCGGCUCAUCACAUCCUGGGGCUGAAGCAGGUCCCAAGGGUACGGCUGUUCGCCGUUUAAAGUGGUACGCGAGCUGGGUUUAAAACGUCGUGAGACAGUUUGGUCCCUAUCUUCUGUGGGCGAAGGAGAAUUGAGAGGGCCUGUCCCUAGUACGAGAGGACCGGGAUGGACGCACCCCUGGUGAUCCUGUUGUCGCGCCAGCGGCAUAGCAGGGUAGCUAUGUGCGGAAGGGAUAACCGCUGAAAGCAUCUAAGCGGGAAGCCUGCCUCAAGAUAAGUUCUCCCCUCGAAAGAGCUGAAGGGCCCGGGUAGACUACCCGGUCGAUAGGCUGGAGGUGUAAGCGCGGCGACGUGCUCAGCUGACCAGUACUAAUAGCCCGAGCGGCUUAUUU